CUACGGGACGCUCCAGUGAGGAAUAUUGCACAAUGGGGGAAACCCUGAUGCAGCAACGCCGCGUGGAGGAUGACGCAUUUCGGUGUGUAAACUCCUUUUAUAUGUCAAGAAAAUGACGGUAGCAUAUGAAUAAGCACCGGCUAACUCCGUGCCAGCAGCCGCGGUAAUACGGAGGGUGCAAGCGUUAUUCGGAAUCACUGGGCGUAAAGGACGCGUAGGCGGGUUAUCAAGUCAGGUGUGAAAUCCUACAGCUUAACUGUAGAACUGCACUUGAAACUGGUAGCCUAGAGUAUGGGAGGGGCAGAUGGAAUUAGUGGUGUAGGGGUAAAAUCCGUAGAUAUCACUAGGAAUACCGAAAGCGAAGGCGAUCUGCUGGAACAUUACUGACGCUAAGGCGUGAAAGCGUGGGGAGCAAACAGGAUUAGAUACCCCCGUAGUC
rnacentral:rRNA from 1 species